rnacentral:lncRNA from 1 species
AUUAUUUCUAAAAUCUGCAGGUAGGUAAUUCCAUAAAAUCUCUGCUGAAUAUUUAAAAGAGUUCUUAUAAUAAGUUGAUGUUCAAGAUCUAGUCAUAUCUGCAGUGUCAAUAUAUAUUUACAAUCUUUGUAUACAACUAAAUGGUAACACGCUAAAAGAAAUUUGAAACCAUUCAACAGGCAUGCUACCCAUAGGUCUAACAUUCAUUGAUGGAACUGUAUCUCUUUCAUGUAGUUAAUCAUACGUAACGAAUCUUCGUUUAUAAAUUGUUAAGCCCUUUUCGCAUUAUUACAAAUUAGAAGCGCUAUUGUUGCAAAAUAAUUCUGCGCAAAAAGCCAAAAAUUUAGAUUGAGAUGAAAUAAAUUUAUUUAAUUUCGUAAUAUAUCAACCAAUACACUUUCGAACAUUCAGAUCAGUACAGUUGCAGAAAAUCUUUACAAUAAACUUUUUUUUAUUAUGGUGACUAUAAUUAAGUUGAUAAUCAAUAUCAAUACUCCAAAAUUUGGUAAUCUCAUCACAUGAUCUGUCAGCUGACUGUAUAUUACAAACAGGCUUCGUCUCAAACCUUUUAAGUAUACAUAAACUGAUUGCUCCAAUGAAUAAGCUUUUUCCUAAGGCUUAUCAAUAUAACGCAUUGCUUUUUUACCCUACAUUAUAUCCUAUAUACUAGUCUACUGUCUACUUAAAUAUAGUGUGACAUUACACACGCUCAUGCCUUUCUCAGACAGUUUUUGAUAGCUUUGCACUUAAUCUGUAAGAUGUGUACUGGUUGAUACUUUAGAUUGAAACUUACAUGAUUUAUUUAUAAGCUGUAAUUUACUUUGAACUAGCUUUUAGUAAUUGCUAGUAAAAUAAUAUUUCAGUGGUUGUAUCUUUUGUCUUUUUCUGCGUGCUAAAUACCGAUCUUGUGAGUUAAUUCUUUAGUAACUGAUUGUAUAAUUUUGUUCUUAUUUUGUGUUGUAAAACCAAUGGCCGAGGUUAGGGGAGAGUUGAACACUCAAAAACAUGUUUCUGUAGGUGUCUGUGCUAAGUAAUGAGCCUGUAAUUUAGUGUUUAUCGUUGGUUCAUGUCUGUAAUAUUUAUCAUCGCAAAUGGUACAGCAACCAUUACCAGUUGGUUGACCGUUAUAUAAUAUCCGUUUCACAGAUGGUAGCGAAUAUAUUCCACAUGUUGUAACUACAAUCCUGUUCCAUUAUCCCAGAAUGUGAUUUGCCGAUAUAGACUUAUUACCGGGUUUGUACUAACAUGAGCAACACGACGGGUGCCACAUGGUGAACAGGAUCUGUUUGUCCUGCAUGAGCACCUGAGAUCAACUCCAGUGAUAAGUGGGGUUAAAUUCGUGUUAUUUAGUCUUAGUUUCCUAUGUUGAGUUUUGUGUUUUGUGUACUGUUGUUUUUCUGUUUUUCUAUUUUUGAAAUGGCGUUGUCAGUUUAUUUCUAACUAAGCGUUUCAAUGUUCCUUUGGUAUCGUUCGCCUCUCUUUCAUAUUUGUUUUUCAUAAAUUGAAAUGUUUCACAUUUGAAGCUGACUAAACAGUAGUUUUUUUUCAUAUUGUUGAAGGUUGUAUACAGACUUGUUUGUAUCAUUUAUUUUUUAAAUUCAAUCUGUUAUGUAUACUCUCAAAGUUUUGUUUUCUUUUUUUUCGAAUUUUGAUCGUAAUAUUUGUUUAUUAGACGAAACGGACCUGGAGCAAAUUUAUACAGAUAGAACAAAAUUAUUCGCAAAUACCAAAAACACUAGGAUAUUAUAUUAUAUCGCCAUUAUUUCUUUUUUUUUUUUAUUUUUAUUCAACAACAAAUUGCACUUUCUGCUGUUAACAAUAUACCUCACCAGUCCAGCAUACCAGUGAAGAGUCCCUGUUUGUUAAUACCAGAAAUCCAGGGUUGUUUUCUGGUAAGCAUCAAUAUAUUAAAUCAACAUGUGUAUUAUAAUCUAACAGCUAAGUUAUAAAAUAAUCAGCAAUGAAAUAAUAAACAAGUAAAUAUCAGCGAGAUUUAUUUGUUUACCUAUACAUAUAAAUAGGAAAAAAUACUAUUUGGAUAUCAUCUAGCAAUAUAAAUGAUUUUUGAGUAUAGUUUCCGGAAACUUUCCAUAUUUUCUCCGUUAACGUGUGCAUUGUUUUUCUAUCGAAUAACUUCCUGGUUUGAAACAAAAUUGUCACACCGGUUUAAUAGAACAAACAGAUGUGAUAUAGCAUUAUAACAGGUAUGUCUAAAUCAAAAUUUAUCAAUAGUGUAAAGAAGAUCAAGAGUAAGACUGGUUUCUUUUUCAAAUCUUCUUUUUGUAACGGUAAAUUGAUAUAAAUAGCCUCGAUAUUAAUCUUAACAUGUGGCGGUGAACAGUAAAAUUUAUAUUACUUCAUCAGUUCCUGAUGUGUAAUUUUAAAAAAUUUAUAUCUUUAAUUAAGUUCUUUCAUUUAUUUUUGCUAGAUCAUAUAUUUCUCAAACAAACAAAAAAAUUAUUUCAACAAUUUGAAAGCUUUUUCUAGGAAACAAUUACAAUGUGUAGUCUUACAUUUUGCCUGUAAUUUGUAACUAUACAUAAAUUCUGCUUUAAAUACAGCAUAAACAUUUAUAGCUUCUGUUUUCUGUUCAGACAUGUAGUAAGCUUUAUAUAUACAAAACAUUAUUAAUGUAAUCAAAUAAUUUAUUUCAUAAUAUUGUUCAUCAUUAAUUUUAUAACCAAAUACUAGAUUUUUCAAUGUUAGAAUAUUAUUAUCAAUAUUCAGUUUUCCAAAAAGAUUUUUAAUUUUACUAAAGAAGUCAUCAAGAAAAUGACAUUUCAGAAACAUGUGAUCAUAAUCUUCAGUGGUAUUGCAAAAAUUACAAUUUGAAGUAUUGCAGAUAUUCCACUGUUUUAAUAAAGUUUUACAAGGUAGAAUAAAGUGUAACAAUUUCCAACGAAACACUUUAUACUUAUUUUCUUUCAAAAUAAUGUGAACAAAUUUCAAUAUAUUACAGACUGAACUCUUAAUAUACUCAAUAUUUAACACUGUUUUCCAUCGGUUAAAACCAACAGGAAUUUGAAUCUCAUUCUGAAUGAAUGUGUUAUAAAUUUUUUUUGUUUCUAACUUGUCUAAUGUUUCUGUAUAAUUACAAUUUCUCUUAAUAAAUAAAACAUAAUCUGUUUUUACUUGAGUUUUCUUUGAAUUUUCUUGUCUUAAAAUGUUUAUCCAUUCUUUUGGUAAAGCUUUCUUCAAUUGAGAAAAUUCUGACAACCAAUUACAUUUAAUAUUGAGUUUUUGUAAAAUAUAUUUCUCUGAUAUGUUACCAUUUUCAUCUAUAAUGUCAUUUACAUAUAUGAUUUUGCUAUUUAUCCAGUUUUGAAAUAUAAGGCUUUUUUUUUUUAAUCUUGAUAAAUUGAUUUCCCCAGAUUACUUGUUGUCGAAUAGUUCUAAAGUUUUCUGGUUGCUCUAUUUUUUUGUUUUUUACCCAUGCUUUUAAUAUAUUCAAAUAAAAUUCUGGCAGCUUAUUUAAACCAGGAAUUGAGUUAAUACCAUCAAUGUUCAUAUGAAAGAUAAGGAAAUUCUUGCCAAAUUUAUUAAAAUAAAAUAAUGGUAUUACUUUCCAGUUGGCAAAAUCUCCAUAUAUUAAUCUUUUAAUCCACCCAAUUUUUAAAGAUUCUAUGUAUUUAUCUAUGUCAAUCAUUUUUAAACCACCAUCUAGCAAUUCAUAGCUUAAUACAUUACGUUUAACUUUUUCUGUUUUGCUUUUCCAUAAGAAUUGAAAUACAAUUUUUUUAAAUUUAUCAAUAUAUUCUUUUUCUAUGUGAGAAACAGAUGCUAAAAAAGUAAUAUUGGGUAGAAUCAGUGAUUUAAUAACUGUUAUUUUUCCCAAUAAGGUUAGAUUUCUUUUCUCCCAGUUUUUAAUUAUCUUCUCAGAUUUUUCUAAUUGUUUUUCAGCAUUGAGCUUUUGACAAUCAUUUUUAUUACAACCAAAAAAAACUCCUAAACAUUUUACUGGUUUGUUUGUAAAGUUAAUGUUUUCAUAUUUUUCUUUACAAUGUUUGUGUUUUCCUAACCAUAUGCCUUCUGUUUUUGAUCUGUUUAAUUUAAGUCCUGAUAAUGUGCCAAAGAUUUCAAUCAUAUUUAAAACUUUUGAAAUGUCUUUUUGUGAUUUUAGAAAAAGUGUUGUAUCGUCUGCAAGUUGGCUGACUUUUAAUGAAUGUGUUUUCCCAUCUAUCUUAAUUUCAAAGCCUUUAAUGUUAUGGUCUUGCCUUAUGUUACAGGCUAAUAUCUCUACUGCAAUAACAAAAAUUAAUGCACUGCACGGACACCCUUGUCGUAUUACCGCGUUGAAUGUUUAUGGGUUCAGAUAUCCAUCCAUUAUUUAUUACUGAGCUUUUUAUAUCUGUAUAUAAAGUUUUAAUCCAUUUAAGCAUAGAGUUUUGGAAUCCAAAUUUUUUUAAAGCUGAAAACAUAAAAUCCCAUUCUAAAGAGUCAAAUGCUUUAGAGAAAUCUAAAAAAAGUAGUGCCCCCUCUAUGUUAAAUCUUUCUGCAUAAUCAAUUAUAUCUUGGAUUUGUCUAAUAUUAUAACCUAUAUAUCUAUUUUUAACAUACCCAUUUUGAUCCUUAUGUAUAAUAUUUGGAAGUAUAUUUUUAAUGCGUUGAGCCAAUGAAUAUGCAAUUAAUUUUGUAUCAAUAUUUAAUAAAGUUAUGGGUCUAUAAUUAUUUAAGCAAAGUGGAUCAUUCUUUUUAUGUAUUAGAGAAAUAACUCCUAGUUUUUGAGAACUUGUUAACUCCCCUUUUUUAUAUGAAUAAUUAAAUGUAGAUACAGCAAAUUCUUUUAAAUCAUUCCAAAAAGUCCUAUAGAACUCAACACUAAGUCCAUCAAUUCCAGGUGAUUUAUUAAGUUUCAUCUUGAAUAACGAACUAGUACAUUCUUCAAUGGUUAACGUACCUUCCAUUAUCUCACUCUCUUGUUUAUUUAAUUUAUGAUCAAUAUUUAUAUCAUUAAUAUAUUUAUCUAUGGAUUUUACAUUUGGACAUGUGCUAUUAUAAAAUAUUUGAUAGAAAUUCUUUUUCUAUUUGUAAAAUUUUAGAAGACUCUGUAUGUAUAUCUCCUUUUUCAUCUUUUAAAGCAGUUAUAGUCUUUCUGGUCUGUCUAGCUUUUUCUAGUCCCAAAAAAAUUUAGUAUUUUUCUCUCCUUCUUCUACCCAUUUAAUCCUUGACCUUAUUUGAGCUCCUUUACUUUUUAUUUCAUAAAUUUUUCUUAGUUUACAUUCAUUAUAAGUUAAUUCUUCUUGAUAAUGUUUAAUAACAUCAUCUUUACAGUUUCUGUUUAUAUUUUCAUUUAAUUUUUUUAUCUUAUUUUCCAAUAUAUGUAUUUCACUUUUAUUUUUAUUUGCAUUUCUUUUACAGUAUGCAACAGUAUGUUCUCGAACUUCAAUUUUGAACAGAUCCCAUUGAUGGCCUAUUUUAUCAGUAAGUUUUGUUUUAUUUUUAUAUUUCAUGAUAAGACCUUUUAUUAUAUUUUUAUACUCUGUAUUAUCUAAGAUACUGUUAUUAAUUUUAAAAUAACCUUUCCCUUUUGAUUGUGAUCUCCCUUUUACCUUUAAAGAUAUAGCUUGGUGAUCUGUAUGUGAAAUAAGUGCAGGUCUUAUAUCUGUUGAAUAAAUAUGUGACCUUAUUUCUGGACAAACAAGAAAGUAGUCUAUGCGUGAAGCUUCGUUUAUCUUAUUUUUCCGUCUCCAUGUAAAUUGUAUAUUAUUUCUAUGUAUGUCUCUCCAAAUAUCUAUCAGUUUGUGUGUUUUGAUUAACCCCUUUAAACUGUUGACUGGUUUUUGUUUUCUUUUAUUAUUUCUGUUGUUUUUUUUGUUGUCAAUAUUAGAUAAUGUAUCAUUCAUAUCUCCCCCUACUAUGACCAUACCUAAACUGUUUUUCUGUAUCAUGUCAUUUACUUUUUUGAAGAAAACAUUCCUAUUUUUAGGUAGAUUUGGUGCAUAAAUAUUAACUAGAGUAUAUAUACUUUCUGAAAUUUCUAUGUUAAUCAAAAUUAUGCGCCCCUCCUCAUCUUGAAAUUUAUCAAUUAAUUGAUAAUCAGUGUGAUCACUUAUAAAAAUAGAUACCCCUCUUGAUUGAGAAUUUCCAUAACUGUGGUAUGUAUCACCUUUGAAUUCAUUUUUAAAUUUUUCCUCUAAAGUAGAAGUAAAAUGACUCUCUUGUACAAAUAAAAUAUUACAAUUCUGAUACUUCAUCCACAUAUGAAGCCUUUGUCUUUUAUCUUUUGAACCAAGACCUUGGCAGUUUAAUGAACAUAUAUGUAUUGUUUCACUCAUUGUUUACCAUAGAUUUCUAGUUAAAAAAAGUAAAGUUUCUUAUAUAUAAUAUAACCAUAAUUUGUUUACAACAUGGUAUAUACAGCUAGUAUUAAUAUUAAUAUACACAUUGUACAUAACAUUGCCAAUAGUGCUUACAAUAAUAUUGCAAAUAAUCAUUUUAACAUUUAUAGUAUGAUAACUACAUUGUUUACUUUUUAUUUCAUUGUCUAUUUUCAGACCGCAUAUGGCCUUGACAUUACUCAGACACUGACCCAGAUUCUGAUUAGCAAAUUGAAGUGGUAUGUCUGAACACCAGAUGUUAUUAAAAGAAAAGUUAAACAAUUUCAGUGAUGGUUUUGUGAUAUACCAUAUUCCAAAUAUUAGCCAGAAUAGAAAUAUAUCAUUAUUGGAUUUACCUGUGAAUGUUAAAAAAACGUGGAUGGCUAUACAUUUAGUGACAUGUUCUAAAAAUAGAUUUGGAUUUUCCUUUUCUAUACAUUGAAAACAAGUGUGAAGAAUAUUACCACUCUGGAUUAUAAACGUGGCAUAUAAAUGACUGAUGGAUUUUUUUUCACAUGGAGAAAAAAAUGUUGGAUAUAGAUAUGUGUAUUUCUUGCAAUUUCAAUAUCAAUGAUGUGGUUUUUACCAAAGAUACAUUCAAAUUCUAAUGUUCUAUUUAUAGCGUACCAUACUAACAGGUGAUUGUUUGAAACAUAAACAUUUUUUAUGAUAAACAUAUAUUUGACAUUCAAAUAGUC